UCCCUGGUGGCUCAGAGGUUAAAGCGUCUGCCUGCAAUGCGAGAGACCUAGGUUCGAUCCCUGGGUCGGGAA
rfam:TPA: Bos taurus chromosome 15, whole genome shotgun sequence.